rnacentral:pre_miRNA from 16 species
UUUCUUUUGUGUAGUGGGUGCAAGGAUCAGCACCAUCUUGAAAUUGGUGCUGAUGACCAAUUUCAAGAUGGUGCUGAUCCUUGCACCCACUA